GCUGGGCGCGGUGGUGCGUGCCUGUAGUCCCAGCUACUCCGGAGGCUUAGGUGGAAGGAUCGCUUGAGCCCAGGAGUUCUGGGCUGUAGUGCACUAUGCCGAUCAGGUGUCCGCACCAAGUUCGGCAUCAAUAUGGUGACCUGCCAGGAGCAGGGGAACACCAGGUUGCCUCAGGAGGGGUGAACGAACCCAGGCUGCAAACGGAGCAAGUCAAAAUUCCCAUGCUCAUCAGUAGUGGGAUUGAGCCUGUGAACAGCCACUGCACUCCAGCCUGGGCAACAUGGUGAAACCUUGUCUUUA
ensembl:misc_RNA Metazoa_SRP Metazoan signal recognition particle RNA